CAUUAUAUCAUGCUAGCGCAUCAUCAUAGAGUUCAGUACUGUUUAAUCUGUUGAGAUAAAUGUCAUGUUGGUAUGAUCACUAGUUCCUACAUGCGAAGUUGGUACGACUUCUAACGACGCCCUUUUGUUUUAGCUUCUGCCACGUGUUAAUUAUCUGAGAGUAUCCGGUGUGUUCAUAUGGCUGUACAUGGUGGUGAAAUACAGAAUAUAAAAACUGAAUCUGUGUGAAUCAAUUAAAUAUCGAACUCCAAAACCUAUUUAAUAACAGGGGUAGUGCAGUAACCGAAAUGGAAAUUAUUCUACAUGCAAAAGAAAUUUGAAGAGUUCUCGUUGCCAGAAAUUUAAGGUGAAUGGAUUUUGUGAUAUUCAGGCAAACUGACUCCCGAGUAAGAUAAAACUUCAUAAAUUCUUUCCUAUGGUGCUUUGCUGAGACCUUUGGAUUUUAACUCGUAAACAAGUUCGCUUAAUGUGCGAUUUAUAAAUAUUUACAUAGAACUGUCCAGUUAAUAAGGUUGUUUUCUUC